AACGAACGCUGGCGGCAUGCCUAACACAUGCAAGUCGAACGAGACCUUCGGGUCUAGUGGCGCACGGGUGCGUAACGCGUGGGAACCUGCCCUUAGGUUCGGAAUAACUCCCCGAAAGGGGUGCUAACACCGGAUAAUGUCCUCGGACCAAAGAUUUAUCGCCUUUGGAUGGGCCCGCGUUGGAUUAGCUAGUUGGUAGGGUAAAAGCCUACCAAGGCGACGAUCCAUAGCUGGUCUGAGAGGAUGAUCAGCCACACUGGGACUGAGACACGGCCCAGACUCCUACGGGAGGCAGCAGUGGGGAAUAUUGGACAAUGGGCGAAAGCCUGAUCCAGCAAUGCCGCGUGAGUGAUGAAGGCCUUAGGGUUGUAAAGCUCUUUUACCCGGGAUGAUAAUGACAGUACCGGGAGAAUAAGCUCCGGCUAACUCCGUG
rnacentral:rRNA from 1 species